GACUGUAGCCAAAAAUAUUGUUUGUUGGUUGUGCCUUACAUAGUAGAUAGAAAUGUAGAACAUAUAUAUAUAGGUGGAUACAAUACAAAGAUAAAACAGUUUCUGGAAGCGUGUGCAUCAAAGUGGAAGAUAAAACAGUUUGUGGAUCAGAUUGGGUGUGGUGGCUCAAAUUGAUAUGAUUGAAGUACCCUCCUCGUGUCUUCUGCAGCAUAUUUUUCGAUGCCGUCUUUAGCAAACACGAUGACCUGAUAGGUGAGCAUUGUUGUUGGCAGGAAGAACAGGAGUUCAUUUGGCUCCGCAUGAAUUUGGUCCAGAAAUUGAAUCCAAUGCUGAGUAACAUUAAUGUCUGUGUAUUGCAGGUAAGCAUGUAUUUGUUGUCGGUGGACAUGAAUGAGGAAAGAACGGUUAUUUUGCCAAUUUGGAGCGAUGAUAUUAAAUGGUGAUUUCUGUCAAAAUAUAUUAUAAGUUAGGGUGUUUGGGUAAUAAUUUAUCACUGUAAUUGUAUAAAGAUAAAAGGUACCAGGCGAAAAGCGUCAUCAUCAGUGAGGUGAUGGAAAAAUGCCGAAAACUUAAAUCUUGUGUGAAGUCAUCCGAUAAGCCUGUGAUAACUUGCUGGUAAACACAGUUAGUUCUAUCAAAAUGCAUUUGCGAGAAUGGAUCUGGGUGGAGUUUUUGGGUUAAUUGUGUUGUCCAAGGAAAUAUUUGUUGCUGGCAGUUUUUUUAAAGAUGGCUACGUUGAACUCCAUGUUUGCUAAAUAUUUAAAUAGAAUGAUGUCACCGUGGUUAGUUUAUGGUCUGCUGCAAAUUGAUUCCAGCCUUCAGCAAAUUGAAAGUUUCUCAAGGCAAUCAGCCAAUGUGCAUUUUUUCCUUUGAUGGUUAGGAAUGGCUGUCUGGAGUGUUGUAUCAUUGGAAUAAGAUCAUGCGGCAAUCGCUGUUCAGUUAAGAAUAUGUUAGGUUGUGGUUGUUAGAAUUUGUGGAGGGAAAAAAGGAAUUUGUAUUAUAUUAUCAGAGAAGUACCAGUGUUUGAGUUUUUGUAAAACGAAUUGUGAAACAGCAUGGUAGGGGGCCAUAUAUAUCAGGUAUGAAGUGAGGAAGAGGAGCAUCUGGAAAAACAAGAAUUGUUUUAGCAAAUACUCAGAAAUAUAGGAUUUUUGUAAGAUAGCAAGUAAAUGAUAACAAUUUACAAUUACCUGGUGGGUGCGAAGAAACAAACAUGAGGACGCGUUCCAGCCACUUAGCAAUGGAAAUAGCAUAUUUAAGCUCAAGAAGGCCAACGUCUUCAACGAGGGCAAAAUGUUGUUCAAUGAAUGCUUCGCUGUAUUUGUAGGUAUCGUGUUUGGGAUCUUUAUGCAAAGCUGUAGCAGCAAGUGUUUUAUGGCCAGUGGGCGUAACUAAAUAGUAUUUGUAUAAUUUCUGUCUUUGGGGUGUAAAGAAACAAAGAUAUCAUUGUCCAUCUAACUGUAGAGAGUUUAUGAAACUGUUGGUUAUUAAAUUGUAUAUGGAUUCGGUGAAUGGAAAACGAAAUGUUUAACUAAACGGAAUGUAAAAUGAAGCAAAAUAAUCUACCAAACAGUGAAUCAUAUUAGUUAUGAGUUAGGUCUGUUUUAUGUUUGAAGAAUUAUAGACGUAAAAACAAUGAAAGGAUUAAAUAUGUUGAAAGUAAAUUAUUCAGUUAUCAGCUGCAAAAUAUAGUGGAAAUUGAUGGAAGCGUACCUGGUGUGCAAGUGAAGUAGGAAAUUUAGCUGUGUUUUAACUGUUGAGGAUUUUUUACUGGUGAUAGAUUUUAUAGGAAAAUGAGAGUGAAUGUUCAGGUGGAAGAAGGCUGUAUAUGUUUGAAGAUGCGGGGUCGGUGGAGGGCUUUAAUGGGUAUUUAAUUUGAACAGGUAAGAAGAGAAAGUGGGUCGGUUGAGUAUUUGGUGGAGUAUUAAAUGAAUUGAUUGGUAGUAUUUAUUUUGAACCGUUUAAUGGGAGAAUUUAAUUUGUUUUAGUAAGGGAAAGGAUUCUGUGGUAUAUUGGGUUGCUAUAUGUUUGUUUGCGUAUGCGUGGCUGUUGAAAAAUAAGAAAGAAAAUAGUGGAGUGGGUGGAAGAAGAAUUGAAAGCGAUGGAGGCAGGUAGCAGGAAUAAAGCGAUGGGAUAUUUUCAGUGGAUUUGAAUUGCACGCAAGUUGAUAAAAGCGCAAAAAAAAAUUUUCAUUCAAGUUUCAAGAGCACCCAAAAAUGGAAACUAUGAAUGUGGAGCAUUAAUUAAAACUGCAGUGGAUGUGAAAUUGAAACUAUAAAUAAGGAGCGGUAAUUUAUAAAUGGUUAGUGCAUAUGAUAGCAUAGAAAGGUGAUAAAAAAACAUAUAGGAAUAGUUGAAGAAGAAUUAGCCGAAACAAAAAAUUUUAGAUAUAUGGUAUGAAAAAGUGCAGAAGGAUUGGAGAGUGGAAAACAAGAAAGAAGAGGAGAACGACGAUUACCUUAGGAACAAUGGCAGUGUGGUGGUGGGAAGGAAGUUUGGUUUGGGAAAUGAUGAGUGUGAAAGCAGGAAUUUGUAAAUUAGAUAUUAUAGCGAUUGAUAUAGACGGAGAGUGAUGUCGGUAAUAGCGAAGAUAUUGUGGGUGGUGUCAGGCUUUAUAGUAAGACAGUCAUGAAUUGGGCAGGGAUAAAUAGUAGAGCGGUAAAUGGAGUUUUCUGGGUAUUCAUUAUAUAUUCAUCAGGUAUGUUGGGCAUUCUAUAAAUCUAACGGUGAAUAGAUGAUAAAAGUACAAAGUACUACAAUGUAAUGUUUUUUUUUUUGACAGAAAAGAAUCUACUUUUAAAGUUAUCAGGCAACGUGGUAAUGAUAUACAUUGAGGGACUCUGACAUGCCUUGCAUUCGACGGUACCUUGCAUUUGACCAAAAGUGCUAAACCUUUGCAGCUCACAAAACAGGCUCCAAUGAAACAAACAACGGCAGGAAAAAAGAAAGAAGCUAGACUUCAGCUGUGGAGGUGCCACGUGGUGCCAAGGGAAGCUACCACAGGAACUCAAGGAAAUUAAAAGGUUGUCCGGACUGUAGCCAAAAAUAUUGUUUGUUGGUUGUGCCUUACAUAGUAGAUAGAAAUGUAGAACAUAUAUAUAUAGGUGGAAACAAUACAAAGAUAAAACAGUUUCUGGAAGCGUGUGCAUCAAAGUGGAAGAUAAAACAGUUUGUGGAUCAGAUUGGGUGUGGUGGCUCAAAUUGAUAUGAUUGAAGUACCCUCCUCGUGUCUUCUGCAGCAUAUUUUUCGAUGCCGUCUUCAGCAAACACGAUGACCUGAUAGGUGAGCAUUGUUGUUGGCAGGAAGAACAGGAGUUCAUUUGCUCCGCAUGAAUUUGGUCCAGAAAUUGAAUCCAAUGCUGAGUAACAUUAAUGUCUGUGUAUUGCAGGUAAGCAUGUAUUUGUUGUCGGUGGAC
rnacentral:lncRNA from 1 species